AUACAGAGGGUGCGAGCGUUAAUCGGAAUUACUGGGCGUAAAGCGCGCGUAGGCGGCUUGGUCAGUCGGAUGUGAAAGCCCUGGGCUCAACCUGGGAAUUGCAUUCGAUACUGCCAAGCUAGAGUAUGGGAGAGGGAAGUGGAAUUUCCGGUGUAGCGGUGAAAUGCGUAGAUAUCGGAAAGAACACCAGUGGCGAAGGCGUCUUCCUGGCCCAAUACUGACGCUGAGGUGCGAAAGCGUGGGGAGCGAACGGGAUUAGAAACCCGAGUAGUCC
rnacentral:rRNA from 1 species